UCAACGGUUUAUUCAUUAGAUAUUGAGGUUUAAAUCUGUCAUAGGAAUUACUAGGAUUUGGAUUAGGGUUUGGCUAGGGUUCGGUUUAGGGUUUGGAUUAGGAUUUGGAUUAGGAUUUGGAUUAGGGUUUAGGAUUUGAUUAGGGUUUGAUUUAGGGUUUGGAUUAGGAUUUGGAUUAGGAUUUGGUUAGGGUUUGAUUUAAGGUUUGGUUUAGGAUUUAGGAUUUGGAUUAGAGUUUAGGGUUGGAUUAGGGUUUUUAUUAGGGUUUGGAUUAGGGUUUAGGGUUUAGGGUUUGGUUAGGAUUUGAUUUAGGGUUUGGAUUAGAAUUUGAUUUAAGGUUUGGUUUAGGGUUUAGGAUUUGGAUUAGAGUUUAGGAUUGGAUUAGGGUUUGGAUUAGGAUUUGGAUUAGGGUUUAGAGUUUGGUUAGGAUUUGAUUUAGGGUUUGGAUUAGGAUUUGGUUAGGAUUUGAUUUAAGGUUUGGUUUAGGGUUUAGGGUUGGAUUAGGGUUUGGUUUAGGAUUUGAUUUAGGGUUUGAUUUAGUGUUUAGGGUUUGGAAUAGGAUUUAAUUUAAGAUUUGUUUAGGAUUUGACUUAGGGUUUAGGAUUUAUUAGGACUUAAGAUUUAAUUAGAUUUGGUCU
rnacentral:lncRNA from 1 species